ensembl:snoRNA
CUUUUUUCUUGUUGGGAAACGAGCAUGCAGUCUAGCCCUCAUUACAGACAGAAGCACAGGGAAGGGGCUACCAUGCAAUCAAUUCCCUCACUGCCAUGUCUUCAGUGUCAGUGGCUUCCCAUCCACCAACUCUAUCCUUAAAUGACAGGACAAAG